CAAGCACCUCGGUAGGUGAGGCGUCUGCACGGAUACAGGCCACUGACCCCGAACGUCGAGAGACGCCCCGGGUCAGGACAGCUCUUCCCGGACCCAAGGGUUGAGCCCAAGUGGCUUCCGGAACCAUCGGAUACGCCGUGCAGUGCCGAAGCUCCGACGAGAGGGGUGCGAC
rnacentral:sRNA from 2 species